UAAUGCGUUACAGCUCUUUUAGAAUUUGUCUAGCCAGCUUUCCGGUUUUUGCCCCCCAAAAAAGAUACC
rfam:Pan troglodytes isolate Yerkes chimp pedigree #C0471 (Clint) chromosome 12, whole genome shotgun sequence.